rnacentral:rRNA from 1 species
GAUGAACGCUGGCGGCGUGCCUAAUACAUGCAAGUCGAGCGAACGGACGAGAAGCUUGCUUCUCUGUUGUUAGCGGCGGACGGGUGAGUAACACGUGGAUAACCUACCUAUAAGACUGGGAUAACUUCGGGAAACCGGAGCUAAUACCGGAUAAUAUUUUGAACCGCAUGGUUCAAAAGUGAAAGACGGUCUUGCUGUCACUUAUAGAUGGAUCUGCGCUGCAUUAGCUAGUUGGUAAGGUAACGGCUUACCAAGGCAACGAUGCAUAGCCGACCUGAGAGGGUGGGCAGCCACACUGGAACUGUGACACGGUCCAGACUCCUACGGGAGGCAGCAAUAGGGAAUCUUCCGCAAGGGGCGAAAGCCUGACGGAGCAACGCCGCGUGAGUGAUGAAGGUCUUCGGAUCGUAAAACUCUGUUAUUAGGGAAGAACAUAUGUGUAAGUAACUGUACACAUCUUGACGGUACCUAAUCAGAAAGCCACGGCUAACUACGUG